UAUUUGGUCAUUUUGGGUUUUGAACUUACAGUGGCCAACCAGCUGCCAUUGGGAAUCCCAUAAGCAGGACCUGAAUGAAAAGACCACUCCCCCCCUGCAGUUUCCAGCAACUGGUAUUUGGAAGCAUUUGCCUCUGCCUAUGGAUGCAGAGCAUAGCCAUCAUGGCUAGUAGCCAUUGUUAGCUAUUGGAGACAGAAGAGUUUCUUCUUGAAGUUCCUAAAAUAUCAGAAGCCAACUCCACAGUAUCUCAGAGCAGGUCUGUCAAUGUGGUUGUCCCUGUUCUGUGGAACAGCAUCCUGGUUGAGAUACAGGUGCCCCCUAUUUGUACUUUCUGGAAACAACUGAAAACAGCUCUGUUUAGACCAGCUUUUGAAGCUGGGUGAAAAGGUCUCUGUUUCAGGCUUUCAUUCUGCAUUUUUAAAUCUGCAUUGUUCUUAUGUAAAAUACCUUGAGACUGGAAGGUGGUUCAUAAAUUAUACAUUUUAAAAAUUAAAAUAAAUAUCAAUACAGAGGAGAUUAAAUAUUGUACACUUCACCAUCUGUUAAUAUAAGGACAAACACUUA